rnacentral:rRNA from 1 species
UUCAAGCCUACAAAGGGCGUCACCGGCGGAUACCUUGGGCCACAAAGGCGAUGAAGGACAUGGUUACUUGGCGAUAGUCUCGGGGAGCUGGGAAGAAAGCUUGUAUCC